UACGAAGGGGGCUAGCGUUGUUCGGAAUUACUGGGCGUAAAGCGCACGUAGGCGGACUAUUAAGUCAGGGGUGAAAUCCCGGGGCUCAACCCCGGAACUGCCUUUGAUACUGGUAGUCUCGAGUCCGGAAGAGGUGAGUGGAAUUCCGAGUGUAGAGGUGAAAUUCGUAGAUAUUGGGAAGAACACCAGUGGCGAAGGCGGCUCACUGGUCCGAUACUGACGCUGAGGUGCGAAAGCGUGGGGAGCAAACAGG
rnacentral:rRNA from 1 species